UACGGGGGGGGGCAAGCGUUGUUCGGAAUUACUGGGCGUAAAGGGCUCGUAGGCGGCCAACUAAGUCAGACGUGAAAUCCCUCGGCUUAACCGGGGAACUGCGUCUGAUACUGGAUGGCUUGAGAUUGGGAGAGGGAUGCGGAAUUCCAGGUGUAGCGGUGAAAUGCGUAGAUAUCUGGAGGAACACCGGUGGCGAAGGCGGCAUCCUGGACCGGUAUUGACGCUGAGGCGCGAAAGCCAGGGGAGCAAAGCGGG
rnacentral:rRNA from 1 species